GCCAGAUCAUUUCAUUAGUUGUACAGUAUAAUAUUCAUUUGACAGGCAUAAAGGAUGCAUUCAUUCAACAAAUAUUUGAGUACCUGCAGUCUACUGAGGAAUGGGGAUAGCCUAAAGAGUUGGAAGUCCAACACAAGUUUCCUGGGCUAAAAAUCAAGGUGUCAGCAGGGCUGCAUUCCUUUCUGGAGGGUUUAGGGGAGGACUUAUUUCCUUGCCUUUUCCAGCUUCUAGAGGAUGCUCACAUUCUUUGGUUUCUGCCCCCUUCCUCCAUCAUUAAAACCAGCAACGUAUUUUUUAAAACUACGGUUCGAGAAGGAAAAAUGUGCCUUAAUUGUCCACAGCUUGCUGGUGCUUUUGUGUGUGAGAUAGGGCAGUCCAGACUGGCUUGUUCCUGUCUCCAUGCCUGUCUGCUAAAGAGAUGCUCUGUUGGGUGCAUAUCAUGUAGAUGAUCUGAUUAUUGCAGAGAAAUAAAGAAGUUACAUUUUCUUUUCCAGUCUGAGUGAGGAUGCAAUGUUUUCCAGGAAGUGAACAGCAUAGCAGUAGAUGUUUUGACCUGUGGAAAGCAUCACUUAAUUCUGUAAAGUGUUAAGUGAAAGUUUUAAACCAUGAGUUGACCUUUGGCCUGUGAAGCUGAAUAAAUUGUUCAAAUCUUACCCCUAAAUGUCUCAUUACACAGCCUGAGCUGGCACUGGAAAGCUGUCUUUAGGCUCUGAACUUCUGUGGUCUGGUUAUAAACAGUGGAUAUGUUCAGCAUGGAAUGUUGGAAAAAUUCUCACCAAACAAGUGUAGCAGUUUUAUUCAGAAUUAGCUAAAGGGCAUAACACUGUAAAAGAGAAAAUGAACCACUAUUGCUGUCAUCAAAAAUGAGGAAAUGGCUCUAGGCAGUAGCUGAAGAGUCCUUUUGAACUUGAGAAAUUCACUGAUUUGGCAGUGAGGAGAAUCUUGUUUGUCCUGCUGGUUCUAAAGAACUAUUUAUCCUCAAAUAAUUCCAGUAAGUAAGGCGCAAGGAAAAAAUCAUCGAUCUCAUUUUUUCUAAAUCUCUCUCCUCACAUUAUUAUAUUUUACAUCACAUCCAAAAUACGGCCUUAGUUUUUUAUAUGGAUCUUGAUACGUGCUAUAUCUUUCCAUUUUAGAGUACUUCUUUAACAAUACUGCAAAUGGAACAAGUACAUACUAUAAAGUUGAAGUUGUUUUGAAAAAUAAUAUAUUUUCAUUGUCAUAAGAAAUUAAGCCAUGGAAAUUUUAUCAUAGUCUCAAUGCUCUUAUUUUAAUGUGUUCUCAUCUGCAGUGUAUGGGCUGUUGCACAUCCUCACCAGCAUGCAAUAUUGUUAGUAAUUUUUAAUUUAGCCCUGUUAACAGUGUGUAGUGAUAACUCAUCGUGCUUUUGAUUUGCAUUUCCCCAAUGGCUAAUGAUGUUGAACAUCUUUUCAUGUGUUUGUUUUCUGAAUGUCCUCUUUGCUGAAGGGUCUGAUAGUUUUUUAAUUUUUUUACCUUGUUUUAGUUGAGUUGUUGUCUUUUUGUGGUAUUUUGAGAGUUCCUUUUUUAUUCCAGUGCAAGUUCCUUGUCAAAUAUGUGAUUUCCAAAACAGUUUCUUUCAGGUGGUAGCUUAUCUUUUCAUUCUCUGAGAAAACUGAUUUUUGCAAAAGAUUCAAAGGCAAUGUAGUGGAGAAAGGAUAAUCUUUUCAAAAAAUAGUCUUGGAAUAAAUGGAUAUCCACAUGCAAAAAAAUGAACUUUAAUUCUCAUUUUACCCCCCACACAAAAGUUAACUCAAAAUAUAUCAUAGACCUAAAUGCUAAAUUGAAAACUAUAAAAUGUCUUGAAGACAACAUUGGACAAAGUCUGUGUCAUUUUGCAUUAGGCAAAGAUUUCUUAGAUGAAACACCAAAAGCAUACUCCAUAAAAGAAAAUGAUUGGUAAACUGGACUUUAUCAAAAUUUUAAAAGCCUGCUCUUCUGAAGACAGACACUAUUUAAAAAAUGGAAAUACAAGAAGUUGAAAAGAAGAGGACAAACCAUCAAAUGAGUCUAUAAACAUUGGCUAAUGCAAUAAGAGAACCCGGGAGAGUGUGGUGUCCUGGAAGCCAAGUAAAGAAAUCGAGUCAAGGGGGAAGGAGAGAUCCACUGGGUCAAAGGUGCUGAUGGGGAGUGAUUAUUUUAUUUUGAAUCAAGGAGUUAAGAGGGACAAAUGUCCCCAGACUCUACAAGCUCUGGUCACAGUUGUCUUGCUAGUCAUGACUCAGCCAUUCCACCAAGGUAGGAGUUACAGUAGCAGCAUUGGCUCAUAAUCUGGUGAGAUUGUCUUAAACUGGUGCCAUAUGCUUCAUAUUUGGCAUACAAGGGAUUGAAUUCAGGCUACGUGCACUUGAACUUCAGCCACUGUUAUAUCUGCAUUCAUUCAUUCACUCCUUCAAUAUUUAUUGAGAUCCUUUUCUGUGCUCCACACUGAGCACAUACUGACACUGGGUAUACUAGUGAUUUAAAACAGCCCUAGUAUCUGAUAAUAUGGAACUUAUAGAAUGGAGGAGAUGACAAGCAUAAAUCAAAUAGUCACACUGGGUGAAACUAUGAUGUUUCUCUCCAGUGCAUAAUAACAACAACAAGUUCAUUAUUGAUCCCAGUAUUAUGAAGCAUUAUUAAUCAUAGUAUUAUGCAGACUAUGUUUGGAAUUACUCUGUUGCCAUCAAUGGCAUGUUUGCUAUCAAUUAGCCCCUCAUACUGUGAAUCCGACCCUGGGUGUGGAUGGGCCCUGGGUGUUUUAACUCAUCUUUAUGUUUCUAACUGAGGUUUCUUUAUCUUCUCCAAAUUGAAGUUGCCAUCUAUCUUAACUCCUUUCUUAGUCUCCAAAUAGCUCUUCUCUUUUUAUUUGAUUGCUGUUUGGAAUAAACAAGCCAAACGUAAAUGUGAGGACUAGAAAAACAUUAAUGAUGAUUAACAAGAAUGAACCUGAAACAUAUGUGGAAUUCAUGCAAUACAAAUGUUCGCAGGUUUUGCCACUUCUGGGAAAUUGCCAAUUAAAAAGACUGGCAGUAGAGGUGGAAAAUAAAGAUACAUUUGAACAAAAAUAACAUUCUAUUUCUGCAAGUAUAUCUUCAUCUAGAUAGAUUUUUUAUUACUAGAAAUGGCAUAUUUUUACUAUGAGCAACUUUUACAGAUGAAAGAGAAUAUAACAUAGUGGUUAAGAGCACAGAUUCUGGAACUAAACUACUUGGGUUCCCAGUUUGUCUACCUACCACUUGUGCUAACACGAGCAAGUUCACCUCUCUAUGCCUGUUUUCUUAUCUACACAGAACACAUAUUUGUGCGUUAAAGGUUAUUAUGAAUAUUAAGUGAAUUAAUACAUAUGGAGCAUUAGAAGAGUUGCUGGCACAUAGUAAGUUGAUUAGAGACAGAGAAAGAAAGAGAGAAAGAGACAAAGAGAGAGCAAGGCUCUGGAGUUAGUUUGGAGUUAGACUAAGCGUGGUUUCACUGUUUAGUACUCAUACUACCUUGGGUAGUUCAAGUAACCUCUCCAUGCCUAUUUGCAAAAGAGGAGUCUUAAUAAUAGUAUUUAUUCCUCACAGAGUUGCCAGGAAAUAGCGCAUGUGAAGCAGUUAGUACGUGGAAUUAAUAUUAGCUCCUCUUUUAUGACUGGUGGUGGUGUGUUUCUAAAAACAUAGAUGUAAACCCUUUAAAUGGAACACAAUCAGGGGGCCAACCCCAUGGCCGAGUGGUUAAGUUUGUGUGCUCAGCUUUGGCAGCCCAGGGUUUCGCUAGUUAAGAUCCAGGGUGCAGACCUAGCACUGCUUAUCAAGCCAUGCUGGGGCAGUGUCCCACACAGCAGAACUAGAAGGAUCUACAACUAGAAUAUACAACUAUAUACUGGCGGGCUUUGGGAAGAAGCAAAAAAAAAAAAAGAUUGGCAACAGAUGUUAUCUCAGGGCAAAUCUUUAAAAGAAAAAUAAAAUGGAAGACAAAUUAUUUACAAUAUACUCAAAAACUAAAAUAAGAAAAAAAAAAUGAGGGAAGAAAAAUACAGCAUAAAUUUGCCUGGAUUCUAGCAAUUCUAAGCGAGUUUGAUAACUCAGAGAAUUUCCCACAGAUAGUACCUUAAAUCCAAUAAGAGCAUAGAACAUAAAUGUUAACCAAAUGAUUUUAAUGUUACCAGAGUAUGUGAAUGGCUUGUCAUUAACUGAUGGUCUAUCCCUUGAUUUGCUUGCUAUAAAUAAGACAGAUUUGUCAUUGAAAGGAUGCUCAAGAUUUCACCACUUUUGAUGGAGUGGCUAUAUGCACUAAAUGCAUACCAACAGGAUAUCCAGAUGGUUGUUUAGUGACCCAAAGAGGAAUAGCCAUAAGUAUGUAGGUAGAAAAAAGAUACAGUUUUUUUUGAUGCUCUGGGGUGAGCUUGUAAGAGAAAUGUAGAUAGCUGAGAAACCACUGCAAGCUACAUACCAGCUGGCGGACGUCCACAGGAAAAGAGAAAAGACUGAGGCCACUGAGCAUUUACAGGACUGGGUUACAAGUAGCUACAGGCCCCAUGAACAACAGCCACAACAACAAUCAAAGGACAUUCUACAUGCAUAAAGCGCUCAGAAAGGACUGUUAUGACCAUGUUAGUCUUUCCUGCGACAUCUACGCAUAUAGAUGAAAGCCAUCAUCCACAGUACCACGUUCUCAACUGACACAGCACUACCUUCAUGGAGAGACCUAAACAUUUUUUAACCAAAAUAAUUGAACUGCUUCACCUAUGUAAACCCAAUUUCAUUACGUCAGGGGAAGGAAUAUAGGCUUUUUCACAUUUUAUUUUUUGUGGUGGGUUUUUAAAAUAUACUAUGAAACUAUCAAAUUGGGGGGAAGAGUAGAUAGGCCAAGAUUUUAUUUUAAUUAUAAAGUUGUUUUUUUGAAAAGAAAAACUCUAUUGGUAAGUUGACAAUAGAAAAAUAUGAGGAAGUGUUAAAAUAAGGAAGUUGAGACUUUUUAAUCCACACUUACAAGUUUCCUGAGAUACCACAGCAACCUUUCUCCUCAAAACAAGGUUAAUUUAACCAUGAUAAGAGGAGGUGAUUGUGCCUAAGAUAAUUUGCUUUCACACUGAAAAUUCCCCCGAAGAUAGAGAAGAUCAUAUUCUCUGACUUGGACCAAGUGAGACCAGAAACUGUACUUGGAAUGUUUUGUUGUUGGCUUUUUUUGGUGAGGGAGAUUGUCUCCAAGCUAACGUCUGUGCCUAUUUUCCUCUAUUUUGUACCUGGGAUGCCGCCACAGCAGGGCUGGACGAGUGGUGUGUAGGUCCACGCCUGGGAUCUGAACCCACAAACCCCAUGUCGGGCCACCAAAGCGGAGCAUGUGAACUUAACCACUAUGCCACUCAGCCGGCCCCUGGAUUUUGAUCUUCAGUCAUCGUCUUGACUAAAGUUUAAGUGAGCAAAGAAUAAAAAUAGAUAUAAGUAUACAAUUUUUAAUAACAAUUCUUACAGAUCUCUUUGGAUUUCAUUGUUAGAGCUUUAUUAUUUGCCAGCUGAUAGCUAUUACCUCUCAUCCAAAAUUUACUCUUACAAUGAAGAGUAAAUUUGUCUUUUGUUUUGUUUUUGUUUUUAAUGACCAUUAAAGGUUACAAAUGAAACCAGAUACUUGUGCAUAAUUCUUACAAGAUAGCCCAAAACCAUACAGGAAAGGGUUAAGUAGAGAGUUGAGCAAUUGUCUCGUUAAAAUCAGUAAAUAUAGUCGCAAUCUACUUAUUUUGGGGUCACUCAGGACCCCAAAAAUUCUUUACAGGCAUGGUGAAUUACUUGCAAAAAUAUUCUCUUUCUUCAUUUAGGGACAGUGUCACAUCAACAAUGCCUGUGUUGCAUUUACUUUAUAAAUUUUUUAAUGAUGUACAAUGAUUAGUGAGUUCUAAGUGGGAAAUAACCAGACCAAUGUGGCUUUAUAGCUAAGGUUAAAAAAGUGAGUAUCUAAUUCAAAUAAAAUAUGAAAGUUUCUGGACUUUCACAAACUUUUGAACUCCCUGCAGCUUGCAAAAUUUAGUUAAAUUUUAAUUGACGUGUAAAUAUUAUUUAUCUUAGAAUGAAAAGGAGAAUUAAUCGAAGUCUUUUAAAGCAGGCAGAAAGAAUUUUAUGUAAUGUUUUGUUAGAUAUAUAUCAAUAGGGAACAAAUACUGUUCUGCCUGAUAACUUCAUAUAUCCCAAGCUUUCUACUUCCUAAUAAUGGCAUUAUUCAGUGGUCUAACAGGUAGUUCUUAAAACUCAGUGGUGAAAAGGUCAUGGUGCUAACAAGAUUAGAUUCAUAGCUAAUCAUCUUCAAAAAUGUGUAUGAAAAGUAAGAGAAACAGAAAGUCUGUGCACUGCAAAAAUAGAGUUUUAGCUCUCUAAAACCCUGGGGGCUGAAAGGUAAUAAUCGAAACAUCAAAAAAUAAACUGUCUGCAAAAUUGGGUUUUGUGUGAAACACUUACCUUAUACAUUAGCAGAAUUCUGUGUUAAGGUGGUAUAAGAGAGGAUAUGAGUGUGCACAAAUAUUUUUGUUAGAAACAGCAUAACCUCCCAGAGAUAUGAGUCCCACGGUUGAAUUUCACACCAUCUAACCAAUUUUUCCUUUCCCAGGCACUCAGAAAUAGUUCCUAUCAGUCCAACAGACGUCUUUACCAAUUUAGGGCUGUGUAUUUGACCAGGACUACGGGAAGGAAACGUUAAUCCUAAAAGAAAAAAAAUCACUGAAAUGAUACUGGACUGUGAAAUGGAUUGAAGUGAAGAAGAUGUGUGCGCUCUGAACCCCUGAAGCAUGAGCCUCACUCCGUCCAACAGAAGGUGGUGCUGAGAUCUGCAGAAGCCAAAUGAGGAAAUUAUGAUGAAAUAUUUGACCUACAUCGGGAAAUGUCAAUUAAAAUAAGGUACACUUGCCUGAUGCAUAUGGAGACUGAAGUAGCAGUAAUUUUCCAGCUUCUCGUUCUACUAGUUACCAACCAGCUCUACGAGCAAAAACAUCUGGGAAGCCAGAUACCAUUGGUAGAACAGGUUUUGUUUCUUUUUAUUUCCAGAAGUGCUCUAAAAUUCAUGCUCCGAAAAUCGCCAGAGGAAAAGAAUACGGGUUUGUAGUGAAAAUCUCUCUUUCACAAGAAAAGGCAUUAGAGAUAAAUUUCUUGAUUUUCCCCUGUGUUUGAUCUCCAUACAACUGACAUCCUUGUUUACGUGAUGGCUUCAGCAAGGGAAUAAUCCAUGGCUGAAUCACACAAAGCAAUGCCAACUAAUUUUUCUAGAUGUGUCUUCCAUUGGCUUCUUUCCCUCAAAUCACAAGCAAGGCUCCUUUGAAGAGACCCUGC
ensembl:lncRNA